AAAACGUUGGCCCGGAGCGGCAGGAAGUGAGGAUGCCGGACUGAGUACGCGAAAAUCAGAGUGAAAACCUCUGACACCGUAAACCCAAGGGUUCCUGCGCCAUGGCAAUCAGCGCAGGGUGAGGCGGAGCCUAAGGUGAGGCCCCAGAGGCGUAGCCGAUGGUUAACGGGUUGAAAUUCCCGUCCCGUCUAUAAACGUUGAACCCAUCAGGGACACUGGAACGAAGGAGGAGCGGCUUUGUGGAUGGCCGUCUAACGGUGUAGGGGCAACCCGAGACCGGAAUGCGAGGGAUGCGGGGCAACCCAAAACCCGAGUUCUCUGGAGUCGACAGGCGAGAAAAGCUGAUGGCGGAGUUUAUAGAUGUCCGUACCGGAAACCGACACAGGUGGGUGAGGCGAGCAGCCUCAGGUGAACGAGUGAAACGUGGUCAAGGAACUCGGCAUAAUGAUCCUGUAACUUCGGAAGAAGGGAUGCCAGAGAGGGUGUAGGGUACACCGAAGCUCUCCCUGGUCGCAGCGAAUCGGCCCAAGCGACUGUUUAGCAAAAACACAGGUGUGUGCCAAGCCGCACAAGGCGCCGUAUACACACUGACGCCUGCCCGGUGCCGGAAGGUUAAGGGGAGAGGUUAGCCGCAAGGCGAAGCUUUGAGCCGAAGCCCCGGUAAACGGCGGCCGUAACAAUAACGGUCCUAAGGUAGCGAAAUUCCUUGUCGGGUAAGUUCCGACCUGCACGAAUGGCGUAACGACUUGGGCACUGUCUCGACCACGUGCUCGGCGAAAUGGCAGUCUCGGUGAGGAUUCCGAGUCCCCGCGACAGGACAAAAAGACCCCAUGCACCUUUACUGUAGCUUGUCAUUGGUCGUUGCACAUCGCUGUGUAGCAUAGGUGGGAGGCGUUGAUCCGUGGGCGCUAGCUUACGGGGAGCCAUCAGUGAAAUACCACCCUGCGUCGUGCGACGCCCUCACCACGGCGGGAACACCCCGUCUGGGACCGUGGCAGGUGGGCAGUUUGACUGGGGCGGUCGCCUCCGAAACAGUAACGGAGGCGCGCGCAAGGUUGGCUCAGCGCGGACGGUACUCGCGCUUCUAGAGUGUAACGGCAGAAGCCAGCCUGACGGUGAGAUCGACGGAUCGAGCCGCCACGAAAGUGGGCCGUAGUGAUCCGGUAGCCCGGGGUGGAGCGGCUAUCGCGCAACGGAUAAAAGGUACGCUGGGGAUAACAGGCUUAUCGCGCCCGAGAGUUCACAUCGACGGCGCGGUUUGGCACCUCGAUGUCGGCUUAUCACAUCCUGGGGCUGGAGAAGGUCCCAAGGGUCCGGCUGUUCGCCGGUUAAAGUGGUACAUGAGCUGGGUUCAGAACGUCGUGAGACAGCUCGGUCUGUAUCCGUCGUGGGCGUUGGAGAGUUGAGGGGAGCGGACUCUAGUACGAGAGGACCGAGUCGGACGACCCGCUCGUGUCCCGGUUGUCCUGCCAAGGGCACCGCCGGGUAGCGAUGGUCGGCUGUGAUAACCGCUGAAAGCAUCUAAGUGGGAAGCACGCCCCAAGAUGAACUCUCCCGAGGCCUUGAGCCUCUUGAAGGGCCGGGGAAGACCACCCCGUCGAUAGGCCGCCCGUGGACGUCCCGCAAGGGAUUCCAAGCGCAGCGGUCCUAAUCGCCCGUAUGGCUUGACU
rnacentral:rRNA from 1 species